UGUGUGUGCGUGUGUGUUUGUGUGUGUGUGUGUGUGUGUGUGUGUGUGUGUGUGUGUGUGUGUGUGUGUGCGCGCGCGUGUGUCUGUGCGAGACAGUCAGAGGGCUCAAGUCUCACGGUUUCCAUGGUGUUGUUUACAAACAGGAUUCCUCCAUUGGUGAAUGAGAAGCCUUAAUGACAGGACACGGUGUUGUGCUCAUAAUACACACACACACACACACACACGCAGCUUUAUAUUGGUUAUGAAAUCAAAGCUGAAAAGUGGGUUAUGAAGAAACAGUUCUGUAUGAGAAGCAGUUCAAAAAGAGCGAUUUGGUCAAUGCAAUACUCUCAACGCUUUCCCAGGGUAUUGGGAUCAGACAAUGAAACAACUUUGAACUAAAUCUCUGUUUUCAUUGUUGGCUAAAGUGGAAACAGACUGGUAACCAGGCUAACUCAAGAUCCAUAGCAACAGAUCUCUGGUAAAAGGGGUGUUUCAGGGUCUACAUGGAACUCAAAAGGUUUCUACCUGGAACCUAAAAGGGUUUUUCAUAGGGCUCUCUUGCACUCUAAAAAUGUGGGGUUCAACAAGGGUUCUUCUAAGAACCUUAGAGUUCUUGGCACUGAACGUGGCCCCCAGUAGGUUCUUCCAAGAACCCAAUAGGAGGUGGGGUUCAUCGAGGUAUCUCCUUAGUUGGUGGGGGUUCUUGCAGGAACCUAACUGCCCAACUGAAACAUUUAGGUGCAGGCACUUCACUGAAAAACGUAAAGAUCUCUUCAAUUUAAGAAAAUGGACACAAGUCAAUGGAUAUCAAUCAACAAAGAGGUAUGAAGACGAGGAGGCAUACAAAGGUAUGUCAGUAGCUGUUGGUAUGUUAUUAUGCAGAUCACAUUUACCAUAUUCCUCUCUUACCUCUUCAAUGAAUAUCCCAUAGGCCUCUACAUUAUGGACAUGGUAUAUGAAAACCAUUAUCAAAGCCGUUGUUUUCAUUCCCAUUUACCACAAAAAACAAGGUAUGAAUACUGUAGUGUGCAUGUUUUAUUAAUCAUCUGUAUAAUUACUAUUCUUUGGGAUUCACAGACUUCACCCUCCCUACACCUCUGAUGAAUAUAACAGGAAACCUGUUUGAUCACCAUGCUCUGCAAAAUCAUUCUGGCUAUGGAUACAGAGAACAUCAACACAUUAACAUCAUCACACCAUUGGACUUGGGGCUCUGCUGGGAGUUUACCUCAUAUUUAGAUUGUUUUAUUCUGCUUUGCCUCUAAAAUCAUAAUAAACACUGAGAAC